rnacentral:rRNA from 1 species
CUACGGGAGGCAGCAGUGGGGAAUAUUGGACAAUGGGGGAAACCCUGAUCCAGCAAUGCCGCGUGUGUGAAGAAGGCCUGCGGGUUGUAAAGCACUUUCGGUUGGGAGGACUGCUUCUAGCACUAAUAUUGUUGGAAGUUGACGUUACCUUCAGAAGAAGCACCGGCUAACUCCGUGCCAGCAGCCGCGAGUAAUACGGAGGGUGCAAGCGUUAAUCGGAAUUACUGGGCGUAAAGCGCGCGUAGGCGGCUAGAUCAGUCGGGUGUGAAAGCCCCGGGCGUAACCUGGGAACUGCAUCCGAUACUGUCUAGCUUGAGUACAGGAGAGGAGAGUGGAAUUCCACAUGUAGCGGUGAAAUGCGUAGAUAUGUGGAGGAACACCAAUGGCGAAGGCAGCUCUCUGGCCUGAUACUGACGCUGAGGUGCGAAAGCGUGGGGAGCAAACAGGAUUAGAUACCCCGGUAGUC